UACGGAGGGGGCUAGCGUUGUUCGGAAUUACUGGGCGUAAAGCGCACGUAGGCGGCUUUGCAAGUCAGAGGUGAAAGCCCGGGGCUCAACCCCGGAAUAGCCUUGAGACUGCAUCGCUAGAAUUGUGGAGAGGUAAGUGGAAUUCCGAGUGUAGAGGUGAAAUUCGUAGAUAUUCGGAAGAACACCAGUGGCGAAGGCGACUUACUGGACACAUAUUGACGCUGAGGUGCGAAAGCGUGGGGAGCAAACAGG
rnacentral:rRNA from 1 species